rnacentral:rRNA from 1 species
GCUGAACGCUGGCGGCGUGCUUAACACAUGCAAGUCGAACGAAAGAAGAUCGGUGCUUGCACUGAUCCGAUCGAGUGGCGGACGGGUGAGUAACGCGUGGGUAACCUGCCUCAUACAGGGGAAUAACAGUUGGAAACGGCUGCUAAAACCGCAUAAGCGCACAGUAUCGAAUGAUACAGUGUGAAAAACUCCGGUGGUAUGAGAUGGACCCGGGUCUGAUUAGCUAGUUGGUGAGGUAGCGGCCCACCAAGGCCACGAUAAGUAGCCGGCCUGAGAGGGUGAACGGCCACAUUGGGACUGAGACACGGCCCAAACUCCUACGGGAGGCAGCAGUGGGGAAUAUUGCACAAUGGGGGAAACCCUGAUGCAGCGACGCCGCGUGAGUGAUGAAGUAUUUCGGUAUGUAAAGCUCUAUCAGCAGGGAAGAUAAUGACGGUACCUGACUAAGAAGCACCGGCUUAAUACGUGCCAGCCGCCGCGGUAA